UGGGGAAUAUUGGACAAUGGGCGAAAGCCUGAUCCAGCCAUGCCGCGUGUGUGAAGAAGGUCUUCGGAUUGUAAAGCACUUUAAGUUGGGAGGAAGGGCAUUAACCUAAUACGUUAGUGUUUUGACGUUACCGACAGAAUAAGCACCGGCUAACUCUGUGCCAGCAGCCGCGGUAAUACAGAGGGUGCAAGCGUUAAUCGGAAUUACUGGGCGUAAAGCGCGCGUAGGUGGUUUGUUAAGUUGGAUGUGAAAUCCCCGUGCUCAACCUGGGAACUGCAUUCAAAACUGACUGACUAGAGUAUGGUAGAGGGUGGUGGAAUUUCCUGUGUAGCGGUGAAAGGCGUAGAUAUAGGAAGGAACACCAGUGGCGAAGGCGACCACCUGGACUAAUACUGACACUGAGGUGCGAAAGCGUGGGGAGCAAACA
rnacentral:rRNA from 1 species